rnacentral:tRNA from 1 species
AGUGAAACCAUCGGAAACGAUCCGCCCGCCUGCCAGCGACCUUCUAAGCAGGUUGUCGCAGGUUCGAUUCCUGCAGGGGUCGCCA